rnacentral:lncRNA from 1 species
AUCAAGACUGUCCUGUGUAAAAACGAGCGUGAACAAACGAAUCCACUAGAUGUUGAACCCCAACCUCACAUCAUGCAUCUGUUGGAAGAUUGUCCUAUAGGUAACUACUUGAAUUCCCACCUAAGAACUCCCGAAAUUUUCGGUCAUGCAAUCGGGUCCACUGAUACAAGGAGUAAGAUCCAUCACUCAACUCCUAGCAAUAACACUAGACGUCCAGUGUAUCAC